UUGAGAAACUGCGCAGCACCGCCGUCAGUUUCAGAUCAAUACACACCCAGAAUUGCAGUUUCUCAUCCGAUUACCUCAAGUCUCCGUCGAGGAUCCUGGAUAAGUAUUGCCCCUUGUCCCUCCCUCCCAGAUACGCUUUCACUCCAACUGUUUUACUGAAGUCCCAUGUGCUAACCGGAUAAGAAUUGCCGGUUGAUGCCUUAGCAGCUCCAUUAUUCCCAUGGUAAUCAAACACGCAUAUUGCACUUUCAACAGAUGAUUCGAUCAGCUUGAAAAUAGCUGCGUGAACAGCAUCCAGAUACUCAAGAGUAACAUCACCUUUCAAACGCGGCCCCUUCUCUGGAUGCAAGCGAAUGAGUGAUUAGCACCUCUUAGUUUUAUAAAGUGAAUUAUUGAUUUAAUGGCACAAUUAUAUGACAGCACAAUGUCUGUGACCUCGAGAUAGAUGGAAGGUAUUCCCAUCCGUUGAAUCCUUCAGAAAGUGCCAGACAGUGGCAUUUCUGUUCCUUUUUGUGGGGUAGAACUUCAUCCUAACUGAGCCUUGCUGUCAAACACACAAAUACGUCUACAAGAUCAACCUUCAGUCACCUACGCUCCAGGGAAUAAAGUCUCAGCCUAUCCAAUUGUUCCAUAUGACUCAAACCUUCCAGUCCAGAUUGUUGUUUGAACAUUGAGUCCAGAUAGAGUUUCAUCAGUGGAUAAAUCCGAAAGCAAUUUUUGUGACUGGAAGCACAGGCUUGAUGGGCUGAAGGGCCUUGUAUCUGUGGAGUGGAACUCUAUGACUGUCUGACUUGGGACUCCAUGGUUUGUCCCUGAAACUCACACACCAUCUGGCUACAAACAAAAGUGAAAUAUACCCUCUGUUCCCUUCCUCUCUAUUCCAUUUUCUUCACUGGGGAUGAGGAUAUGGAUUGUACAAGAAACCCUUGAGUUGAAUUGUUCAGUUGUUUCAGUGUUUGGUUGUGUGUGACUGUUGUCUAUUUGCUGUGAUUAAUUGUUAUAGACUCAGCUAUAGACUCAGAAAAAAAAUCAACAGACUGUAUAAGGUACCAGAAGUUAAAGCAGCAGCAUGAACACAGACAUUUUGUGACUGGAGAAACAUUUUAAAACACUUGUAAACAAAUUUCCUACACACAUCUAACCUGAAGUGUGUCAUACUGGUAUUGCUGUGAGAUGGAAAAUAUUCAACGCAUGCCAGUGAAAUGCCAGUGCUCCCAUCAAGGCCAAGGAGUGGGAACACCCAGUUUACAGAGUGCUUGCCCUAACCCUGCUGUAUUCAAUCACCAGAAAACAAGUUCAAGUGCAGAGAGGUACAGAGGAAACCAUCAGCUCUCCACAAGUCCCGUAAGCAAAUCAUGGUCAUUGACGUUUUCAGACAUACACCUGUCAUUUACAGAGCAUUUACUCACUGACUGCACUCUAGUUCGAACAAUGGUAUGUUCAAUAUCCACAUGCAUACAUCUUCGAACAAGGCUACUUGUUCAGGUCACAUUACUAGUUUUCAACUUUGCAGCUUUAAAAAAAGUUAUAUUAUCUGUUCAUGGCAGAUGAGUGUCACUAGCCAGUAUUUAUUGCCCAUCACUAAUUGCCAUGCAAAAGGUGCUGAGUAGUUACUUGAAUCAUUGCCGUUCUUGUGCUGUAGAGACACCCACAGUGCUGUCAGGAAGCAAGCUCCAGGAUUUUGACAGUGAAGCAAUGGUAACAUAUAGUUCCAAGCUCAGAAGAUGUGUGACUUUGAGGAGAACUCAUUGUUGGUGGUGUUCCCAAAGGCCUGCUUCCUUGUCCUUUUAGGUGAUAGAGGUUACAAUUUUGGAAGGUGAUGGUGAGUUACUGCAGUGCAUCUUUCAAACAGUAUUUAGUAUUGCCACGGUGUGUUGGCGAUAAAGAUAGUGAAUGCUGAUGGUUGUGAAUUGUGUGGCAAUGAAACAGAUUGCUUUCUCCUGGAAGAUAUUAAAGCUUUUUGACUGUUGAUAAGAUGAAGAGUACAGUAGCGUCUCGAUGUACGAAUUUAAUCUGUUCCGGGACCCGGUUUGCGAACCGAAAAGUUUGUGAACUGAAUCAAUUUUCCCAUUGUUUGGAUAU